AUGAGGAUUUGGAGGUGUUAUUGGAAUCCGAUGGAGGCGUAUGAAUAGUCAAAACGAAGCUCUCGACGCGUAGAAUCUAGUACAAUCAUCCGUUUAUGUGCAGAUUUGUCAGGUGAUUUUAUAUUUAUUUUUCAAAAUUCGAAUUUAUAUGAUUUAAAUGAUGAAUUUUCGUAAACGUGAUUGUUUAAUUGUUUUGAUGAUUCUAUGAUGCAGAGCAUGUUUUUCUCGUCGUUUUGGUAUAUUAUAUGUCAAAAACUGAGUUCAAUAACAUGUUGAAAAGGAGGUUUAAGUUUCGGAAUUCAUGUUCUUGGUGUUCUUGAGGAGUUCGCCGGAAUAUUUGAGUUUUUUUCGCCGGCAAAUUGAUCUGAUGAAUCUGGGUAUAAUCAGAUGAUGUAGUUGUGUAGAGUAUGGGGAGAGGAAUCUGUAGGGGUGAUUUUUGAGUGUGGAGAAGCACGGAAGUGGCCGGAUCGAAAGGUUGAAGCUCGCCGUCGCCGGCGAGUUUCUUAUCCGAAAUCCGGCCUAUCCUCGCGUUGUUUGAUGAUUAUAAUUGUUGAAACGAGUUCCUGGUUGUGUGUGCUAUGAAUCUGGAGAGUUUGGUGGCUUCCCGACCAACGUAGCACCGUUUCCGGCAAGUCAGAGGUGGCCGGCGGUGAUAUUUACAGUUUAGUACCCAAAGUUAUGAAGGUGGUGAAGUCUCAGUACUGUGGUUUCAAAGUUUGCGUUUCUGCCCCUGAAACUUUGAAAUUUUGCAGUUUACACCAGCAUACAAAAGUUUUCAAACUUUACAAUAAAAACCUUUUCAUUUUAAAAAUGUUUUUAAUUUUCAAAAAUAGUUUUUAAUUAUUUCUUUAUUCAAAAAUAAAUCUAAAUUAGUUUAUUAAUUAAUUUUAAUUAGUAAUUAAUUAUUUUAAUUGGUCAAUUAAUUUAAAUAUUAAUUGAUUAAUUAAUUUAAUUAAUUAUUAAUUGAUUUUAAUUGAUUAAUUAUUUGGAUUUAAUUAUCCUUUUUGAUUUAAAAAUUCUGAAAAAUAGUUUCGAGCUUUAAAAUAUUUUUCCAAAUUAUUUUCAAGGCUCGAUAAUUGUUUAUGAAUGAUUUCAAGUCCAAUUUCAAGUAUUUGGGACUUGAUUAUUUAUUCGAAAAGUGAUUCUUUUAUCGAUUUUAAUUCCGAAAAAUGUUUAAAAAUUACAGAAAAUUCCCGAAAAAUUAUUUUAAACCCAGGAAUUGAUUUGACAUCAAAUGGGGACGGGAGACUUGAUGUGUAAUGUGUUGUUUGCUAUCGGUGUAAGGUAUUAUAUGUUGAGAGCGGAGUCAGAAAACGGUUUUGGAUGUAUCUUUUAAUCCGUAAACCGGAAUCGAGUGAAACGAAAGAGAGACAGAAGCUUAUAAAGUCUAGUUUGAUAUGACAUAAUAAUAUGAUUGAGUCGAGAAUGUGAAUAAUUGUUGUGAAAUGUGCACAAUGUGAUUAUAUGUUAUUUGAUUGCUAUUAAUUGAUGAUUACGUGAUAUAUAUGUUUAUUCUUGAUAUUAUAUACAUGAUAAAUGAUUUGAAUGACAUAGUAUCAUGACUUGACUGAUACUGGAUAAGGACAUAUGGAGUAUAGUGAUUGGAUUUGGUUGGUUGAUUGUUGAUGGAGAUAGGAUAACAUGUGGAUAGUCUAAUAAAUAGACGAGACGAUGUCGAAUUUUCGAUAAGAUUUAUAUAAUCUUUAAUUGAUAAUAUGUUAUUUGGAAUAUGAUUAGACUAUAUGGUAGAGUCAAAGCAUGAUUACGUGUUAAGUGAUAUGUGAUAAGUUUAAAGGGGUAUAGAAGUGGGUAUCGAUAUACGUGAUAUGUAUAUGCAAUAAAUUGAUUAGUGAUUAUAUUAUUAUCUUAUUCUCGUUAAGGAUUUGGACGAGGCGUGUACGUUCGAAGACGUUCAGAAAGUCAAAUGGUGUUGCAAAGCGAAUAAGGGAUGAACCGAGGAAGCGAAGAUGUACGGUAGAUAGAGUAUAGCCAGAUAUGGUCUAGAGACUAUGAUAUGCAUAGAGUGUGANAGGCACGAAUCGAGGAAGUGAAGCUAUAUUGCGAAUAGAGUAUAGCCGGAGAUGGUCUAGAGAGUAUGUUAUGCAUAGAUUGUGAAAGUGGAAAGAUGAGAUUGAGCUAUGAGUUGGGAACUGGAUUUAAGGCAAGUAUCCUAAACCUUUCUCUUGGAUAUAUUGCAAAUAUUCUGAUCCAUUCCUUUGGUAUAUGUUUCAAGUAUUCAUACCUUUCUUUUCAAUGUUCGAAAGUGCGAGUAUUCUGACCCAUUCUUUCUAAUCUUCAAGUUUCUAAAGAAUUUCCGGACCCAUUCUUUCUAAUCUUCAAGUUUCUAAAGAAUUUUCGUUUUACAAAUUAAUUCGAAGUUCAGAUUGUCAUUGAAGCAUGUGUUGCUCAGUGAUAGUUAGAGCUUUGAAUGAAUUGGGAUCUUCUUGAUUAUUCAACCCGCCAUUGUCAUGCUGGUUUAGCAGGCUAAAUUCAGUUGCUUAGCCGAUAAUGGAGGAUACUGAAUAGUUGAGGAUUUCCUGAACUGUGAUUUAUGAAAUGAUGGAUCAUGAUUUAUGAAUAGAUUGUUAUCAAAGUUUGGAUUGGAAUUAUUCUGUUGUUGAUGAUAUUUAUGAUGAUGUUCUGUUAAUUUACAUUGGCUUCUUGAAUUGAAUUAGAGAAUUGGAUUAUUGUUUUUAUAUAAACCUGUGGACCAGAUUCGUGGUCAUGUUAGGCCAAUGAGUGCCUUGGAUCCAGUGAUAGAGCAUGGCGGGGCCUGCUCGGGGUUAGUGCGGAACUGAUCAGCUGCCUAACCUUGGUUUUAAUUAAAAUGUGAUAGUCCAAUUCAAUAAUUCUUUGGAAAGAUUGAAUUUCUCAGUUUAAAUGCUGCAAGGUAUUGUAAAUCAUUCUAUACAAUACCAUGAACUCAUGAACUCAGGUUGAAUCCUUUUAUAUCUUGAACUCAUGAACUUCUGUUAUAUCAUUUCAGAAUUUUCAUUGUUUAUUAUUACUUGCUGAGCAUUGUUGCUCACCCUUGCUAUUCCUUUCUAACCAUUUCAGAAAGGCUUAAAAAUGAGAUGAUUGAUUGAGAUUGUGAAUAAGGCUAAUGCUAGACGAGGAGACAGAGUUGAGGAUCCAGUGGCCGAGGAAUGUUCAGGAAAGUUGAUGAGGGUGGUGCAAGCUAGAGCUGUGCUAUAGGGAUUCAAGUGUAAGUCAUAGCUGGAAUAGUUGACAGUGAUUCUUCUUAUCGAAGAUGAUCUGACUCGGUAAGAAAUGUUGUGUAAUAUUAGUGGUGGAUUCUAAUUUCAAUACUGUAACCUGGAUGCGAUCCUGUUGUUUUUAGGGGGUUGAAAUGUCUCUUUCGAAUCAUUUAUUAAAGUGUAAAUAUUCUCUUGAAAUUCUCCUAUUAUGGCUGUCAAGUUACAAAUUCAGGUUUUGAAAUCAUUCGAUUUAUGUUCUCAUUCAAAUCUUUUAUUAAAUGUUUUCAAGUUUUAAAUUCUCUGAUUUUAUUAUCUUUUGAAAAAAAAAUACAGGGUUUCAAAAGUGUUUUAAAAGGGUUUUGUGUGG
rnacentral:lncRNA from 1 species